rnacentral:rRNA from 1 species
GACGAACCGUCCUAACGUUGUUCGGAAUCACUGGGCUUAAAGGGCGCGUAGGCGGGCUGGACAGUCCGGGGUGAAAUCUUUCGGCUUAACCGGAAAAGGGCCUUGGAUACUGCCAGUCUCGAGGGAGGUAGGGGCAUGUGGAACUGCGGGUGGAGCGGUGAAAUGCGUUGAUAUCCGCAGGAACGCCGGUGGCGAAAGCGACGUGCUGGACCUCUACUGACGCUGAGGCGCGAAAGCCAGGGGAGCGAACGGGAUUAGAUACCCCGGUAGUCCUGGCCCUAAACGAUGAGAACUAGAUUGCGGACUGAACAUGGGUUCGCAAUCGAAGCUAAAGUGCUAAGUUCUCCGCCUGGGGAGUAUGGUCGCAAGGCUGAA